UACGUAGGGUGCAAGCGUUGUCCGGAAUUAUUGGGCGUAAAGAGCUCGUAGGCGGUUUGUUGCGUCGGCUGUGAAAUCCCGAGGCUCAACCUCGGGUCUGCAGUCGAUACGAGCAAACUAGAGUGUUGCAGGGGAGACUGGAAUUCCUGGUGUAGCGGUGAAAUGCGCAGAUAUCAGGAGGAACACCAGCGGCGAAGGCGGCGCUCUGGGCCGGAACUGACGCUGAGGAGCGAAAGCGUGGGUAGCAAACAGG
rnacentral:rRNA from 1 species